rnacentral:rRNA from 1 species
UUAGCUUGCUUUGGGUCUCUAGUGGCGGACGGGUGAGUAACACGUGAGUCAUCUGCCCUAAAGUUCGGGAUAGCUCGGGGAAACUCGGAUUAAUACCGGAUGUGAACGUAAGUUUAAAGGUGCCUUCGGGUGCCGCUUUAGGAUGAGCCCGCGUCCUAUCAGCUAGUUGGUGAGGUAAUGGCUUACCAAGGCGACGACGGGUAGCUGGUCUGAGAGGACGACCAGCCACACUGGAACUGAGACACGGUCCAGACACCUACGGGUGGCAGCAGUCGAGAAUCAUUCGCAAUGGGCGAAAGCCUGACGGUGCGACGCCGCGUGGAGGAUGAAGGUCCUAGGAUUGUAAACUCCUGUCAUCAGGGAGUAAAGCUCAGGUGUUAAUAGCGCCUUGAGCCUGAUAGUACCUGAAGAGGAAGGGGCGGCUAACUCCGUGCCAGCAGCCGCGGUAACACGGAGGCCUCAAGCGUUGUUCGGAAUUACUGGGCGUAAAGGGUGCGUAGGCGGCGAGGUAAGUCAGAUGUGAAAGCCCGGGGCUCAACCCCGGAAUUGCAUCCGAUACUGCCUUGCUUGAGGGUUGGAGAGGAGACUGGAAUUCACGGUGUAGCAGUGAAAUGCGUGGAUAUCGUGAGGAAGGCCAAUGGCGAAGGCAGGUCUCUGGACAACUCCUGACGCUGAUGCACGAAGGCCAGGGGAGCAAAAAGGAUUAGAUACCCUUGUAGUCCUGGCAGUAAACGGUGUGCGCUUGGUGUGGGGGGAUUCGACCCCCUCCGUGCCG